AAUCAACGCUGGCGGCGUGCCUAACACAUGCAAGUCGAACGCGAAAGGGGAGCAAUCCCUGAGUAGAGUGGCAAACGGGUGAGUAACACGUGGGUGACCUGCCUUCGAGUGGGGGAUAACGUCCCGAAAGGGACGCUAAUACCGCAUGACAUCCUGCUCUUGGAAGAGCGGAGAUCAAAGCUGGGGAUCGCAAGACCUGGCGCUUGAAGAGGGGCCCGCGCCUGAUUAGCUAGUUGGUAGGGUAAUGGCCUACCAAGGCAACGAUCAGUAUCCGGCCUGAGAGGGCGGACGGACACACUGGGACUGAGACACGGCCCAGACUCCUACGGGAGGCAGCAGUGGGAAUUGUUCGUAAUGGGCGCAAGCCUGACGACGCAACGCUGCGUGGAGGACGAAGAUCUUCGGGUCGUAAACUCCUGUCGAGUGGGAAGAAUGGAUCAGGGGUGAAUAAUCCCUGAUAUUGACGGUACCACUAAAGGAA
rnacentral:rRNA from 1 species